GCUCCUCCACAAGUUCUCUUGUUUCUUCUCUCUAGCAGCCACUACUGAGAAAUGUCCCUCUUGCCUUGAACCAGAAGAUUCCAUUUUGCACACCCGCUGAGCUGGGUCAGCCAGGACUGCUUGUUUCUGCAGGCUCCUUCCUGUUCCUCUUGCCUUCUGACAAGUGCUCCUGACCUCAGCUGGUGACCAGGAAUGAGGCUACUUCUUCUGUCGUGUGGCUCAAUGAUUCACCAAAGACC
rnacentral:lncRNA from 1 species